UUAAAGUGCCCCUGUCACAAAAUGAGAGUUUACAUCAUUACAAUCGUCUUGAAACGUAGAUUAUGAAAAUACAAAACAGAUUUAAAAUUGAGCUUGUUUUCACAGAGUAAUAAGGCAAUGAAAUUUGAAAAUUUCAAAUUUUAACGGCAAAAGUUUUUGAAAACCGCGAAGCUGGGAAAUUGGUAACUAAUACGUCAUAGUAGGAAGACAUUGCCUUCUCGCCUAAGUGAAAAGAAUAUAAAUACUAAGUGAGAAUCACAAUCAAGCUGGUCAAAAUUCGAUACAAAUGUCUUCGUCGAGUUCAGAUACGGAGAAUAACAGUUACCAAAGCGAUGACUGCCUGAAAUUAUAUUCCUGGGCCGUAUCAAAUCGAGUGAAAUCGAUGAAAAUACCAGUGAAGCGUGGUCAACGUCGGUUGUGCGCACAAAUGAUCGGCGCUGCUUGAUCCAUAUGUUAAUGAACCAUGCAGUGACCGACGAAGAUGGCUCAAAAGUUACCGCGAAAAAAAGCAAUCACAACGAACAUCUUAAGCAAUUACAACAAAGGCUUGAUAGUUCAGAAGAAUUGAGUAAAUGGUAAAUAUUUCACUCUGAUAUUGUUGCGUGACUUGACCUUGUGUUGUAAAUUACAAACUAUAAUAUUUCAUGUGUAAACGUGGCAAUUGUCGCAUUGAACUCACUUCGUAAAUUAUGCUAAAGAGUGUCAAUGUUGUAUGGAAAUUGAGGAGUGCGUCGAUUCUCUACACAGUGACAUUGUGAUUUGUGAUGCAAGAAGCUGAAGUCGCGCCAUCGUGUAUAAUUCAACAGCUAUGGCUAGAUAAGUGAGCUCUCCGUUCAGCAGCCACGAAAUUACGAACAAGAAAGAAACAGGAAUACCGUCAAACAAGCACAGAAGAUAGGUAAAUAAAGUUUUAUUUAUCAACUUAUUGAAAUUAAGAAACACUUUACCGUACCCGAGUUUACUAUCAGUGAACACACGCAUGCGGUACGGUAACUGAGAGUUUAUAUACGGUACAUACUGUUCAAUUAUUGAAUUAUUAUAUAUUUACAUGUGUUCACAUGCAAGUAAGCAACUUAUUAAAAAUACUUAUUUAUUAAUUUAUAGAUUCUGAAGGAGCACAGCUUAUAGAAACUUUGUGUGGAUGGUUUAUGGACAACUAGGAAAUAGACAUUUUUGCGCAUAUGAGAAAAUAAUGCCUGCUGUUGAUGAAGACUUUGUAGGAUUUGUAGAGAACAGCUCUUGAUAUUAUAUAACUAUUUUCCAAUAAAUAAACCUAUUACACUGUAUAAACGUGGUAAUAUUAUACUGUAUUGCGUAUAGAAACAGCACAUUUGCUAUAUUUAUGACUUCAAUAUUGUUUUGCCAAAGAGACUGAAAUUUGAGAUUAAGAUUUGUAUCCGAUGUUUUUCUGCACUUCGUGCGCGCAGGUUAAUUUGUACAAAGUGUUGCAGCACGUUUAGGAAUUUUUCUGACUUGUAUUUCGUUCCAGGCACUACCUUAUACUAUAGCAAAAUGUGGCAAUGAAUGACUAAGUUAUUUCAUUAAGUUGCUUCAAUGGAUUAUACUUUGUAAUACAUUUUAUAUACACCCCCGCAGUGUAUCUGGUUUCAUGCCACAAUUUGUUACAAAAUCUGCAUAUUGUACGGGUUUUCACUGCGGUGCAAACACAACGAGUGUAUAUAUGUAUAAUUUACUGCGUCAAGUUUACUUAUACGUACAAUUCUACUUUCCCUGUCUAAACUAAUUUACAAACAGUGCAUAUUGCUUGUAGACGUACGAAAUUGGCUUUCAUCAGCUAUAUUUUGACCAUAUUCGCUCAUAGUCAUAGCUAUAUUGUCGCGAUAUUUUAUAUUUCUGGUGAAUCCAUUGGCUGUGGCUCAUUUAUAUUUAUCGCGCUUUCCAGUUUCGUGACUAUGACCAUAUCGGUUGACUGCAUCGAAGCAGCUUCUAAAUACAA